CAGCAGGCUCUCGGUGGGCAAAAGUACGGCUCCUGUGGGAUGCUGACCGCCAGCUUUUAUCCUGCACCCACCCCCAUCCCAUCCAGAUCACAUGGAUUUCUGGACUGCCUUUCUCAGAAUGGCUUCAUCCUGAAGGAACCAGGAGCUCUCUGGCUGCCCAAGGAGUGUCACAGGAAUGAAGUUCCACUGCAGUGUUGGGUAAUGCAUCCCUGGAGCCACAGCAGGCUCCCCAUGGAUCCCCUGGGACCGACACCUUUCCACCUGUGUGAGCUGCUCCAAUUUGAGGCUGCUGCAGGGAGCUGAGCAGCAAAGGGCUCCACGGUCCAUAAUCUGUGUUUUCAGAGCAGCCAGGAAUGCUUGCAGCCCUCAGGAAAUAAAGAACCCACACACACUGAUGUUUAUACCCCUCCAAAUCAGCCAAAUACAUCAACAAAGGCUUCCUUCUCCUUGUGCCCAUAUCUCAGCCUGAAGAGCCCUGCCUGCAGCUGUCUUUGCAUCUUUCUUUCUCUCCCAUGUCUUUGCAGGCUGACAGGCAGGAGAUGAAGUAAUACCAGUUAUUUCUGUCCAUUGGUAAAAUUUACUGCCGAUGUUUUUUACAAGGCUCCUGACUGGGACGAGGUCCUGCACUGAGCCGCAGGGCUGCUCUCUUUGUGAGGGUGGGAAGGUUAGAAAUGACUCUGAUUGAAGGAAAUAUUAAAUACACCGACUUCCACAAUGAGCUGAGAUUCUUUAAAUUCCUGUUUAGCUCUCUGACUGUAAUAGAAUAUGACAGAAAAUCAAUUAUUUUCUGUUUCCAUUCUACAAAUGAAUGUUUCACAGACAGCGUGAAGUGCACGGGCUCUCCAGGUUUAAUUCAGAAGCCUUUCUAAAAGAUCACAGGUUUUAAUGUGCAAAUUCCAUAAAUAAAUUCAGUAAUUCAUGAUGAGGAGAAA